rnacentral:rRNA from 1 species
CUACGUGCCAGCAGCCGCGGUAAUACGGAAGGUUCGGGCGUUAUCCGGAUUUAUUGGGUUUAAAGGGAGCGUAGGCCGGAGAUUAAGUGUGUUGUGAAAUGUAGACGCUCAACGUCUGACUUGCAGCGCAUACUGGUUUCCUUGAGUACGCACAACGUUGGCGGAAUUCGUCGUGUAGCGGUGAAAUGCUUAGAUAUGACGAAGAACUCCGAUUGCGAAGGCAGCUGACGGGAGCGCAACUGACGCUGAAGCUCGAAGGUGCGGGUAUCGAACAGGAUUAGAUACCCUGGUAGUCCGCACAGUAAACGAUGGAUGCCCGCUGUUGGUACCUAGUAUCAGCGGCUAAGCGAAAGCAUUAAGCAUCCCACCUGGGGAGUACGCCGGCAACGGUGAAACUCAAAGGGAUUGACGGGGGCCCGCACAAGCGGAGGAACAUGUGGUUUAAUUCGAUGAUACGCGAGGAACCUUACCCGGGCUUGAAUUGCAGAGGAAGGAUUUAGAGAUA